rnacentral:rRNA from 1 species
CUAUAAUGCAGUCGACGCACUGUGGUUCAACUGAUUUGAAGAGCUUGCUCUGAUAUGACGAUGAACAUUGCAGUGAGUGGCGAACGGGUGAGUAACACAUGGGAAACCUACCUCUUAGCGGGGGAUAACAUCUGGAAACAGAUGCUAAUACCGCAUAACACUAGCAACCGCAUGGUUGCUACUUGAAAGAUGGUUCUGCUAUCACUAAGAGAUGGUCCCGCGGCGCAUUAGUUAGUUGGUGAGGUAAUGGCUCACCAAGACGAUGAUGCGUAGCCGAGUUGAGAGACUGAUCGGCCACAAUGGGACUGAGACACGGCCCAUACUCCUACGGGAGGCAGCAGUAGGGAAUCUUCCACAAUGGACGAAAGUCUGAUGGAGCAACGCCGCGUGUGUGAUGAAGGGUUUCGGCUCGUAAAACACUGUUGUAAGAGAAGAAUAGCAUCAAGAGUAACUGCUUGGUGUGUGACGGUAUCUUACCAGAAAGGAACGGCUAAAUACGUGCCAGCAGCCGCGGUAAUACGUAUGUUCCAAGCGUUAUCCGGAUUUAUUGGGCGU